rnacentral:rRNA from 1 species
CCUUGGAGUGGGGAAUAACAGUUGGAAACAGCUGCUAAUACCGCAUAAUGCAGUUGAGUCGCAUGGCUCUGACUGCCAAAGAUUUAUCGCUCUGAGAUGGACUCGCGUCUGAUUAGCUAGUUGGUGGGGCAAUGGCCCACCAAGGCGACGAUCAGUAGCCGGACUGAGAGGUUGGCCGGCCACAUUGGGACUGAGACACGGCCCAGACUCCUACGGGAGGCAGCAG